rnacentral:lncRNA from 1 species
UGCCUUCUUUGGACACAGAAACUGUGGCGGCGAAUGCGCCACUGUGUUUUGCACUGUGUGGAGUCCGUGCGGCGUCGGUUCGGGGGACUGAAUUUCGGUGAAUUUGAUAGCAAUUGAUUUGAAUUUUGCUCAGAUGGGUUGUGAAUUUAUAUUCAGCAAGUGUCACAAACAUGGAAAGGCAAGUUUACAAAGGACAGGAGACUUAGAAAGGCUUCAAUUGACGUAGCCGAAGAGAGGCGAGAAGCCGAAGAUAGACCGACUCCAAACGGUGCCCAGUGCAAUAAUGUUUCUGGUGCGGAGUUGUCAGGAUGGAGUCCGAGGAAUCAAGGAAGGCAGAGGACCUGCGUAUGAAGGAACCAGCCCUGCGGAUGAAGUUCUGAGGUGCAUACAGAGGGAUCCCACUGAAAGACCAGGUGCAAUGCUGCAUUGAUAAGAUCCAGAUUCAAGAGCAUGGAUGCUACCAGAUCCUGUGAUUUGAAGGUGUGUGUGCUGUGAAGGCUGCUGAAGGCUGUGUUGACUAUGUGAAGGCUACUUGACUGAACAGAACAUUGUGGAUUUGUUAAUUAAGUACCUCUUUAUUACAAGUUUGUGCCCAUUACAAGCCAAGCUUAG